GAAAAAGAUUAUAAUUCGGGCUGCUAACUUUGAAUAAAAGUAUUAAUUUACUUAUUUUUCU
rnacentral:tRNA from 1 species